AUUGAACGCUGGCGGAAUGCUUUACACAUGCAAGUCGAACGGCAGCACGGACUUCGGUCUGGUGGCGAGUGGCGAACGGGUGAGUAACAUAUCGGAACGUAUCCAAUAAUGGGGGAUAACGAGUCGAAAGAUUCGCUAAUACCGCAUACGCCCUACGGGGGAAAGCUGGGGACCUUCGGGCCUGGCGUUAAUGGAGCGGCCGAUAUCUGAUUAGCUAGUUGGUGAGGUAAAGGCUCACCAAGGCGACGAUCAGUAGCUGGUCUGAGAGGACGAACAGCCACACUGGAACUGAGACACGGUCCAGACUCCUACGGGAGGCAGCAGUUGGGAAUUUUGGACAAUGGGCGCAAGCCUGAUCCAGCCAUUCCGCGUGAGUGAAGAAGGCCUUCGGGUUGUAAAGCUCUUUCGCAAGGGAAGAAAACUUAGCCACUAACAUUGGUUGAGGUUGACGGUACCUUGAUAAGAAGCACCGGCUAACUACGUGCCAGCAGCCGCGGUAA
rnacentral:rRNA from 1 species